UUUUCUACUGAGAAUAAAGGUAGGUGCUGCCCUGAUUUGGGGAAAGCUGGGCCCUGGAAGUAGGGAUGUGAUCUAGCCAAGUCUCAGACAGAGAGAAGCAGCUCUUUGGCUAGGACAGAAGCCCCAUCUCUUGACAUUUGACCUUCAGAUUCCUACAGUUUAAAAAUUAAUCACCAGAAAAUGAAUACUUCCCAUUUUCCCUCAGCUAGACCAAAGUCCUAAGUGCUGGCUCUAACUAAGCCAGGGGUUGUCUGUCAAAAUAAAUUGCAGGGGUGGGAGUCGGGCUGGUAGGGACCAGGCCAAUCAGCCCCAAGCUAGCAGCCUCCAGGGUUUGCUCUGGGCUCCUGGCUGGUUAGACCAGCCCUGCCAGGGCUCCUUGGAGAGCAGGGUGGAGAUGCAGGGCUUGGGAGAGGAGCAGCGAGGCCCGGGAGGGUGGGGCUGAGCAGGUCUCUGCAGCAGGCGGGAGAGGAGGAAAUGGGGUGGAGGAAUUGUGUUCAGGUGUGCACCGCCACCGAAGGCCAGGCUUCAGAAGGGGUUGAGGCUGCCUGCCCAGCCAGGGAGGAGAAGGAAGCUCUCGGUGGCUGUGAUGCCUGUUUGAGGAUACUUGAGGUGUCUCAGCCCAGUCUCCCUCCCCAGAAGAGGAAACCAAGAAGGGCCCAAGGCAUGCCAGCUCCCAGAGAGGAGCAUCUAGCAACAUGCCCAGCAUCCUGUAGAUGCUCUCUGGAAUGA
rnacentral:lncRNA from 1 species